AUUGAACGCUGGCGGCAUGCUUUACACAUGCAAGUCGAACGGUAACAGGCCGCAAGGUGCUGACGAGUGGCGAACGGGUGAGUAAUGCAUCGGAACGUGCCCAGUCGUGGGGGAUAACGCAGCGAAAGCUGUGCUAAUACCGCAUACGAUCUAUGGAUGAAAGCGGGGGACCGUAAGGCCUCGCGCGAUUGGAGCGGCCGAUGUCUGAUUAGGUAGUUGGUGGGGUAAAGGCCUACCAAGCCGACGAUCUGUAGCUGGUCUGAGAGGACGUCCAGCCACACUGGGACUGAGAAACGGCCCAGACUCCUACGGGAGGCAGCAGUGGGGAAUUUUGGACAAUGGGCGCAAGCCUGAUCCAGCAAUGCCGCGUGCAGGAAGAAGGCCUUCGGGUUGUAAACUGCUUUUGUACGGAACGAAACGGUCUGGGUUAGUACCCUGGGCUAAUGACGGUACCGUAAGAAUAAGCACCGGCUAACUACGUGCCAGCCGCCGCCGUAACAC
rnacentral:rRNA from 1 species